rnacentral:rRNA from 1 species
UGGGGAAUAUUGCACAAUGGGCGAAAGCCUGAUGCAGCAACGCCGCGUGAGUGAUGAAGGUCUUCGGAUUGUAAAGCUCUGUCUUUUGGGACGAUAAUGACGGUACCAAAGGAGGAAGCCACGGCUAACUACGUGCCAGCAGCCGCGGUAAUACGUAGGUGGCGAGCGUUGUCCGGAUUUACUGGGCGUAAAGGGUGCGUAGGCAGAUGUUUAAGUGAGAUGUGAAAUACCCGGGCUUAACUUGGGUGCUGCAUUUCAAACUGGAUAUCUAGAGUGCAGGAGAGGAGAAUGGAAUUCCUAGUGUAGCGGUGAAAUGCGUAGAGAUUAGGAAGAACACCAGUGGCGAAGGCGAUUCUCUGGACUGUAACUGACGCUGAGGCACGAAAGCGUGGGUAGCAAACAGGAUUAGAUACCCUGGUAGUCCACGCCGUAAACGAUGAGUACUAGGUGUAGGAGGUAUCGACCCCUUCUGUGCCGCAGUAAACACAUUAAGUACUCCGCCUGGGAAGUACGAUCGCAAGAUUAAAACUCUAAAGUGAAUUGACGGGGUC